ensembl:lncRNA
CGCUGCAGCACAGAGUUGGGUGGGCACCAUACAUGGCCGUGGCGCCUGCGGCCCCAGCUCGCGGCCUCGGGCUCGCUCUCAGGGCCCCAUCCUUCUGGUGCGCGGGGCUCUGGAGCCAGAAAGUGUACACAGGCCAUAAAUUUCCAGCCCCGCUCGGAGCAGCUCUCAGAGGUCAGGGGCCGCCCGCCUGCAACCGCCUCUGUGCGCCUGCCCCUUAACUUGCGUCCGGGUAACUGUGGUCGGCAGCAAAGCGCAGCUGGUGCCCUCUGCAGCGCCCAGCCAGACUUCAACGCCACCUCCUCGCCGCUGCUAGACUACCCUAGCAGCGUCGGGACUCUGGGCAGUUUUCGGGAGGCUCCCCACCGCUGCCCACGAGGCGGGAGUUGCGGAAUCAAGCAAAGCGGGAAGAAGGCGAGGCCUGGGGGAGGCCAGAGGAUUACCGCAGACGGCCAGUUCGGAGAUUGGAGUAAGAAACGCGGAUUUCUGUCGGGGGCUCCGCCACGCCCCUUACCCACCAAGCACCUUGAUCAAAUUAUCCAAUCCCUCUGCUUCUCAAAAUAGCCUUCUAUAAGUGAGGAAGAAUAAUGUCUUCGGGCCUGAGUCGCUGUGAUGGUUACAUGAGAUACAAAACUUUCACCUCUUGUCCAAGAGUGGCAAAGACUUGACUGUCUUUCCUCCAUUCCUUACUUGCACACACCCAUAGGUGAUUUCAAACGAGUAAAGACGCUCUCUCCAGCCAGAAUGAACUAGCAGUGUCAUCGUGGAAAUUGUUUAAUAAAAAUUUUCACUUAAUGCGUGCUUUCUGUUUGCCAGAACUCUGUCUGUGACUGUGCCUGGUAUCACAUAUGCGCCCCCAACCUAAAAACUGCCUCCGAUUUGCUGAGCGAACUGAGGAGAAGAAAAUGGGAAGGCAUAAUCGGAGAGCUGAAGAAGACACAGGGAGGCGGGAUGGGUCUCCUCACCACCAUUCCUCAGCAAUGAGGAAAGCAAAAGAGAAGUAACAGGAAAGAGGUGGGAAAGAAAGUUUCCCGUCGGUAAAACGUUUAGCUUGGAGGGUGUGCGUCAGAGCGCCUUCAGGUACUUCCACCUGGAGAAGCUUGACAGUCCCCAGCCCAGAACCACCCCAGAAUGUAAUAGAGACUCAAUAUGCACAUGUGUAGAUGAGUAACAUAGAGGCUGUGAGUGGCCCUUCUGUCCCCAGCAUGUCACCCUUGGCUCUGAGCAAUGCUUUUGAGGGGGAUGAGACUUUUGUGGGCUUUUAAAAAAAUUAUGCAGAUCUAUUCUAAUUUUUAAAAAUCGCUGCCUUUCGUUACAUUUUGGCUAAUACACUGUCCUCCAUCACCUCUGGAGCUGCUUGGUCUCCCUAUCAUUCCUUGUCUCAGGUCACACACUCUGUCCUCCUUGUCCUCCACGGUGGUCAUCCGGAACCAAGCCAGGAGAGUCCAGUUCCCCUUAAAAUUCUGAACGGAUUCUUGAACAGUACCAAGAGGAAAGGAAGGCCAGGGCACAAUGAGCAGAGAGGAAAAAACGAAAAGAGAAAUGGUGAGGACAGCAAAGCAAGGGAGCCUGAAGACCAAUGGACAUGGGAAAACUCAAAUUGCAGGUGACAUUCCAUUUAAAAAUUGUGUGUCACUGAGAAAGUCUUUAGUUUGAUUCUUCCUUUAUAGUUUUGACCCCCUUUUUUUCAGCUGCAAAACUGUGCUGUUGGCCUAGAAGAGUAGUUAGCACAGGCCACAGGGACCUGAGGGAAGUAAGGAAAACCGGACAUGGCUUAGAUCGCUGCUGGUGACCCAAAGUGGCCCCAAAGACAUGUCUCCUGGGCGUUCCGGACCGGCAACCGAUUGGCAAAGAGAUAAGCUUGGGGAAGGUAGGAGCCAGGGGCCCCGCGCUGACCCUGGACUGAAUGAAUGUUCAGCUGGCAGGUUGGGGAUCCAACCUGCGGAAGACCCAGGACCUCUGCUAGGGAGACAUCUGCUAGACCCAAAGCCAUUGCGAAAGGGGUGAGAACCUGUGACCCCCAAAGGUAGGACACUUCGGAGCGAGAUCUGCGCCCCAGACCAGGAGAGCCCGGCUGCGUGGGGUCUCAGGAACACGUCUUUGGAGGGCGUGCACAGCCCGCCAUUCGCCACGUUGUGAAAUUCAAAAAUGGCCUGAUUGCUCUGACGGGUGCAAGUCGGGACUGCCAGAUAGAGGAUCCUAUUCGCUUGCUAGUUCAUUCUUUUGAUUUUUCGUUCACUUGCUCAUUUCUUGAGUUUCUACCUCGUGCUGGGUGCACUCGUCUGCCCGGAUUCUGAGAAACAAAACAAACAACCCUGACGUAUUAAAACGAGGCUGAAAUGUGCAGACCGGGAAAUCCCUAGCCGAGGACGGUGGGGAUUGAGGGUGGCUAGGGAACUCCGCGAAACAGACACUUUUGCUCCGCAGAGAGGCGGCAAGGUGCAGACUCACUAAGACCAACUCACCUAGCAUUCUCACCCACUGUGCGUGCGGUGCUCUUCCGUGUUCCAGGAGAGGCUCGGGCAGAUCUUAGCGCUCCGCACCGCCGCCUGAGUGAGGGACUGGAGAAAGCACAGAAAGCUUUGGACUACUGUCCCGGUUCUUGACGUUAACCACUAGGGAGGUGACCUUGAGUGAGUCAUUCAACCUCUCUACGAGUUGGUUUCCACCUACAACGAUGACCAAAUGGUGUGCGGACAAGCUUUCUUUUGUGAACGCGUUCUCUUGCCCCUCUGUGAUGACCUUAGUUCGGGAUCCUAAUGAGUCCUCAACCAGGUGAUUCGCAGCUCCAUCUCCACCCCGGGGGCUACCACCUGGUACUUCCAGGUCGUGUUGAACAGCCUCCACCUGUAUUUAUAAUGCUAACUACGCUUAUCCUUGCUAUAAAUAACCACAAGAGCCACAAUAAUUACACUUGUCAUUUAUUUAGUAAACACUUUUGGGGUGCAUUCCCUGUGCCAAGCACUGUGCUAGGUGCUACAGCUUCUCCAGCCGUGCAGCAGACCCAGCCCUGCUCUCAAGAACCCUAGGGGGCCUUUUUCCUCUAAAGGAAUCGUUAAUCUCCUGUUUCCAUUUCGAGGGCCCUCCCUCAUUGUGAUUACUUAAAAACUUAAUAAAACUCGUGAAGUGCUGUUUGUCCCAACAUAAUCUCAACAGCAGGAACAGAAUUUUCCCUUCUGGUCCCCUAGACAGUUACUUAAGCUUCCUUCAAAUCCUAAGUUUCAGAAAACCAACUUCUUCCUUCUAACUCCCAAAAUUAAGUCCCUGCCACACCCACAAGCAUUGUAUUAACUGCCUGCGGUGAAAUUUGUAAAUGGAGGUGCUCCUGUGCACAGUGCCUAGAGCAUCAAGAUGAAGAGGUCCUGGGCUUCUAAAAGUACCAAACCCUGACCUAGCCAGGCAGCAUGUUCUAACCCCUCUGGGCUACUCCUUAAAUGAUUUAUUGGUGACAAGCCAUCCUCAUUCUCAUCUAACGAUUUAAUUAUGUGGAGAGUAAAGGUUGUCUUGCAUUCUUUUUUUUUCCUCUGCUGUGCAAACACUCACAAGGAUCCCAAUAAAUACUGCAUGAGAAAAACGAAUGGAUGAAGGAAUGCAGUAACAUCUAGCCUGUAUAGAACUAAUUGUAUACCAGCCACUGUUCUCAUUUUGCUUUGUUGUUGUUGUUGUUCUGUAAUUACGUCUUAUGGCGAUUUAUGAGUUAGGUACCUUUGAUUAUAUCUCAUUAUACAGUGAAAACAAACCAAAUGAUUAGAUGAAUUUCCCAAGGUCAUGUAGUUAGUUAUUGGUAAGUGGGUGAAUGAAUGAAUGAAGGCCUCUGGGGUUAGUUCAGGUCUCCUAUGCUGGAUUGGGAUCAGGCCCGCUUUUUCCUGCACACUCCACUCUCUACUCCACCUGCUGGUCUCCUCGAAUAAAUCCCCCCAACCCAGAGAGUCAUUGAGGAUCUCCAGUGAGGCAAGUUCGGAGCACAGAUCAGGUGAUGCUGCCACAGCCAGCCUCUUUCUGGUUCCUUGUCUGUUGCAUGGGGUGUACUGUGCUAGAGAGUGAGGCCUACUAUCUGCUGCGGCUAGAGGAAGAGAGAAGGAGCCAGCUCAGAGGCUGCCAGGCAGGUGCGAUUGGGCCUCGAGUUCCACAUCCUUCCCAGAAUCCCAAGUGUCAGCAAUGACC